GUGUCUUUCAUCCACUAACCAUCUUUCCAUCACGCCUCUGGUUUUUAUCCAUCAAUCUGUAACCCAACAUCCAAACAGUUGAAAAUAAAAGAAAUCAAAGGAAAAUUAACUUAAAAAAAAUGAAAAGCCAAAACGGAAAAUAAAUUAAAACAAUGAAAGGAACUCCCCCACACUUGAACUAAACAUUGACCCCAAUGUUUAAAC
rnacentral:lncRNA from 1 species